rnacentral:lncRNA from 1 species
CUUAGUGUGUUUAAUUAAUAAAUAAAGUGGCUAUGCUAAUCUGUAUCUAAUAAAACUUAAGCAUAGAUAUGAUGAAUAGUUGCUCUGCCUAAUUUGCACAUUUUAAGUUCUCUCUCAAGUUUAGACAUAACUGUUAUAAUUUAAAGCUUGCCCUAGACCUAAACUUGUGGGAUGAAAACUUGAUCUGAAGUCUAAGUUGUUAACGGAUACGAUAUAGGAAGGUUGAGCUGCUGUUUAUCUGUUCCUAGAGAUGCUAGAAUUCUGGAGAAUUUAUCUUUGAAAAUCUUUAAAAUGUUGCAUGAUGAGUUCCUGUAUGAUGAGAGCUUAAAUUCCUACCACAGCCAUAUAUACAUGCUUGCUAGACUUUGAGCCACACAUUUACUAUUUACUGUUUAUGAGCAUUGAGUAUGGUCAAGCUGUGUAGACCCUUAGGAGCUUGUCAUGUGGUUAAAUCAAGAUUUCACUUGCACGUUCACUCAUAUAUGCUACUUCUACUCUGGAAGUACCAUCCACAUAUAUCCAUACAUUCCAUCUCCAGAAUCACCCAAAAAGAUUCUACUCCUAAUUUGGGAGAGAAUAACCAAAAAUAUUUCUGUUUUCCCCUUGUGAAAUAAAUGCUCAAGUUAUCUUGUUACUACCACUUGCUAUAUUAUCUCAAGAGAUGAGUGCUCUAAAAAAAAGAAGAAGAAGAAAAUAAUACAAGGAAAUAAAAAGGAGCAAGUGCUCGGAACCUCGAAAGAAAAGAAAAAGUGAGACGAGAGGUAAAAAUGGACAAGUGUCCGACAGUAGAAUUAGGGGUGCAAGAUACCCACCUGAGAGAAAAGAAAAAGAAGAGCAUCUCAUUCUCCUCAUAAAGUUUCAAAAGCAAGGAAGGUAUGUAUCCCCUCAGAAGAGCAAAGUAGAAUUAGACUUUCACCACCAUUGUUUUCACCAUUGUUUUCACCAUUGUUAUCACCAUCAUCACCAUAUACCAUUCAUUCGCCACACAUGCACAUCUUGAUUAAACUUGUUGACUUGUUACUUUGGAUCCAUGGUUUGACUAUGCAAUACAUGUCUUGUAAGUAUGUAUAUUUUAUCUCCCACCUAUGAGCUCCAGAUAUUAAAGCCUUAUUAGAGUAGGAUGAGAGAGAAGGCAAUGUUACUAUGCCUCAUACCACAAAUACCACAUAUCUUGAGAGAAGGCAUAUACCAUCAAUGCCUUGGUAAGGAUCCAAAAAUACCACAAAAGAGAGACCUGAGAGAAUCAUACAAGGAAUUCUGAGUUUUAUUUGAAAAUCUGCAAAAAUCCCAGAGCUAUAGCUGAUCAAGAAUAAGAGACAUGGCACUUGGCUAGACUGUUCUAUCUUUUAACCACUCAAGACAGAAGUGACAGUUACAAGUCCCAUAGUGAAGGUAAAGUAAGUAAGUUUUAAGUCUUGACAGUUUACUCUAACUCAGAGAUGAGAUCUUAUUUAAGAGCAUGUGUACCGU